CUGCGUCCCUGAGCAACCUGUGCCAGUGCCUCACCACCCUCCUCGCAAAGGCAUUCCUCUUUAUGUCUAAUCUAAAUCUGCCCCUCUCCAGUUUAUACCCAUUGCCCCUCGUCCUAUCAAUACAAGGCUUUGUAAACAGUCCCUCCCCAAAGAAGGGGAAAAGCUUUUUAGCAGGGCCUGGAGCGAUAGAGCAGGGGGCGAUGCUUUUAAACUAAAAAAGGGUGGAUUCAGGCUGGUUAUGAGGAAGAAAUUUUUGAUGCUGAGGGUGAUGAAACACUGGAACAGGUUCCCAGAGAGGUGCUCGAUACCUCAUCCCUGGAAACACUCCUGGACAGGUUGGAUGGGGCUCUGAGCAACCGGAUCCAGUUGAAGAUGUCCCUACUCGCCGCAGAGGGGUUGGGCCAGAUGACCUUUAUGGUCCCUUCCAACCCAAACCAUUCUAUCAUUUUCUAAGUGAAAAUGAAGAAAACGCACUGGCCAAAUGGGCAGGAAGAUGGUGGUGACGAGGAGCAGCCCCCGUUCUGCAGUUCGGAGCAGGACUGAGUGCCCCGACACUCAAAGGCGCUGCUGAAGCAAGCGUGAGUUUCACAUCUCGAUCACCAAACUUCCCUUCCAUGCUGCAGAACUGAGUUCCCCACGUGGAUUUAUGUUUCUCAGGCUGAUCCUUACAAAUGUUUUCCAAUGUAACUGUCAGGACAAAUCGUGAGCUGUGGAACCCGUGAGGCACCAGCUCCCAGCCCACCGGGAUGCUGCGUCUGGUUCCUUCAGCCACACUGCCCAUGCUGUGCAUCAAGGCUCCCACAGCUGUGCUGAGCAUCGUGCGUGGAACAUGCACACCCACGCGCUCCUGCCAGAUCAUGCCCUAGAUUCGUGUAGCAGAAAUGUGAUAAAUUUCCUGCCUGGUUCCUCCUCGCAACCACAGACGAGGAUGCUCGGUUUUCUCCUCACCUUGUGUAACUGCCGUCUGCAUCGAGACAACACACGCUCUUGCCCUGAGAGAUGCAGCCAUGUUCGAACUGAUGCUGUGAUUAAAGAGUGACCUAAUGUUCAUCAUCUCAGGCAGAGGAAGCCCAAGAGGCGGUCACCAAAUCAGAAAGCUCCUUUGUGAAGAGGUACCUCCAGGGAUGGUGACUCAACCACCUCCCUGGGCAGCUGUUCCAGGGCCUGAUAACCCUUCUGGUGAAGAAAUUUUCCCUGAUGUCUAAUCUCAAUCUCCCCUGGUGCAACCUGAAGCCAUUUCCUCUAGUCCUAUCACUUGGGAGAAGAGAGCAACACCCACCUCGCUACAAC